UUGCCGGCCUCCACGUACAGCAGCAAUUUACUGAGCCCUCCACCAUCGCUCACUCGCCCAGGAAGUUUUAGCCCAGCUGCCUGCCCUGUGCCAGUGACCCCCAGGGGCAUUGCCCACAGGAUCAGUCCCGCUUUCUCCUGCUGGUGGGUCCCUGUCCAGAGCUGCCCCACAACCACCCCAAAAGACGCCAGCACCCUCCGAUGCCGCUCCUCCUGAGCGCAGCCCACAGUGGAAACCAGAGCAAGGAGGAAGGUGAUAAAGUGCCUGGGAGCUGCUGAAAACCAUUCACCAAUAAAUUCAAAGGGAAAGGCCAUUUCUUGUGCCUUGGAAGGAGAGCUGAGGGAUGCUGGAAGCAGAGAAGACCGAAACGGCGCAUGGUGCGGCAGUGUGGCGGGAGGCACCGGAGCAAUUUUUCUGGAUUAAGACAACUGCGGAAGACAGAGAGCAAAGACACUGGGCACCUUUGCUGGGAGCAGAUAUUGCAUCAUAAAACACAGCCAGCCCAGAGCAGGCGGACGCCUCACGUCGGUGACCAGCAGCCCCACUCGCUUGUCCCCCACACCCGUCACUGCCAGGUCGUGGCCUCCUGGGUGGGGGACGGGGAUCCCCAUGCAGGGUCGUCAUUCUCUCCCCCUUCUUCUUCGGGGGGGAGGGUGCUGCUGUUUUAAUAGUGGCCAUAGUGUACUACCUGUGCAUUAAUCCUCAUUAGCUUGUACGUGCAUGCUGGGCCUUGGCAUUUGCCAUCAAGAAAAUUAAGUCCUCCCAGUUUCAGGUCACCCUGUCCUGGUUUUGUACCAAAGCUUUUCAUAUCAACAGCCAUUUCAUUUCAAUAAGCUAAUAAUAACCCCUGCAAAGCCUGUAUAUCAGCAAAAGGCUCUCCACAGCUGCAACUGUCAGCAAAACAGGAGCUAACGCUGCAGAAGGGCGAGUGCUGAGGAAGUCCGAGCCCUUGUCUGUGGAGAAGCCCCUGGACGCCAAAGGAGGCCAGAGGAAUGCUUCGGGUCUUCCACUGCAACGGGAACCAGCUCCGAAAAAAAUCUUCAUUGGUGUCUGUCGGGAAUAUUUGGAGCACCAGGGCUGAGCCUGCUGCUUCUCAUAGAAAUCAGCAGGAAUUUUGUUGCAUGCUUCUCUGGCCCAACUCUGCUCCCAUGGCUGGCAACUCCUGCUGAAGAAAAGCGGGGUUUGCUGCG